GUUGCACCCCAAAAUCCUGCAUCAUAGUAAACAAUCUUUGCCCCUCACUGGUGAGUCCUGAAUGGCUACAGCCCGAAAGCAAGGCAACAAAGGUAAUCCCAUCUGGUUUGAUGCAUGACCUUAUCAUUUCAUCAAAUAAAGCCAAGGCUUCAUUUAUUUGACCAUUGGUUGAAUAUCCAGCCAGCAUUGUAUUCCAUGAUGUCAAAUCCCUGCUGCGCAUUCUGUCAAACACUUUUUCACAAUAACCAAUUUCCCCACAUUUGGCAUACAUAUCCAUCAACGAGUUUAGCAAAGGCACAUCAGCAUUCUUCCUAGACUUCAGAAUCUGUCCAUGUAUCUCCUUCCCACUAUGAAGUGCAGUAAACUGAGCACACAUUGGCAAAACAGUUGUAAGGGUAAUCCAACUGAACCCCAUUCUUUCUCCCUGCAUAACUCUAAAAGCACCAAGCGUCUCUGACACUCUAUCUUGUGCAGCUAAACCAGCAAUUAAACUGUUCCAAGACACCACGUUUCGUUGAGGCAUUACCUCAAACAUCUUUAAGACCUCGUCAAAGCAUCCAAUUUCCACAU
rnacentral:lncRNA from 1 species